AGCAGCCGCGGUAAUUCCAGCUCCAAUAGCGUAUAUUAAAGUUGUUGCAGUUAAAAAGCUCGUAGUUGAAUUUCGAGACCGGUUUACUGGUCGUGCUUUUGUACGUACUGGUAUUAUUGGUUUCUCCUUUCUGCCGAAUCAUAAUGCCAUUAAUUUGGUGUUUUGGGGAAUCAGGACUGUUACUUUGAAAAAUUAGAGUGUUUAAAGCAGGCUCACGCUUGAAUACAUUAGCAUGGAAUAACGAAAUAGGACGUUUGAUUUUAUUUUGUUGGUUUCUAGGAUCGACGUAAUGAUUAAUAGGGAUAGUUGGGGGCAUUAGUAUUCAAUUGUCAGAGGUGAAAUUCUUGGAUUUAUUGAAGACUAACUACUGCGAAAGCAUUUGCCAAGGAUGUUUUCAUUAAUCAAGAACGAAAGUUAGGGGAUCGAAGACGAUCAGAUACCGUCGUAGUCUUAACCAUAAACUAUGCCGACUAGGGA
rnacentral:rRNA from 1 species